rnacentral:rRNA from 1 species
GACGAACGCUGGCGGCGUGCUUAACACAUGCAAGUCGAACGGAAAGGCCCUGCUUUUGUGGGGUGCUCGAGUGGCGAACGGGUGAGUAACACGUGAGUACCCUGCCCUUGACUUUGGGAUAACUUCAGGAAACUGGGGCUAAUACCGGAUAGGAGCUCCUGCUGCAUGGUGGGGGUUGGAAAGUUUCGGCGGUUGGGGAUGGACUCGCGGCUUAUCAGCUUGUUGGUGGGGUAGUGGCUUACCAAGGCUUUGACGGGUAGCCGGCAUGAGAGGGUGACCGGCGACAUGGGGACUAAGAGAGGGCGCAGAGGCCGAUGGGGGGCAGCAGGAGGGAGUAUGGUACAGUGAUGGGGAGCGUGAGGCGGCGACGCCGGGGGUGUGAAGAAGGUUUGCGGGGAGAGAACCGCUUGGGCCUGAGACGGAGGGUGGAUGACGGUAAUGGGUAAAGAAGCACCGGCUAACUACGUG